ensembl:miRNA gga-mir-12246 gga-mir-12246
UUGGGUGGACGGUUGGACUUGAUGGUUGUAGUGGUCUUUUCCAACCUUCUUCCCCCCU